GGACAGGGAGCCCGCACUCUGGGAGGCCGGGUUGGGGGGUGCCGGGGAGGGCGGCGCCCGGCGGGCCCAGUGCUGCGAUCUGUUUCCAGCUGGCGAAUAACGGGAAUUAACGGAGCACCUUUAGUCUGCGUGUGGAUACGCUGGGCCUUUCCACACACGCCUCCGGCCCCGACGCCGAGUACAGGCGCGCGGUCCGGUGCUGGGUUGGUCGGUCCCCGGGGGUCGCACUUCUCUGCAGCUGGUCCCCGAGCCGCUGGCAGUAAAUUAAGGGCAAAGGUAGGGGGCAGGGAGGAGGGCGCAGAACUCCAGGAUUUGAGCUCUUGCAGGCUGAUACCCGAUGCAGUGAAAUCACACUAAGUCUGAAAGCACACCAACGAAACAGAAGUCCGUUACUUCGUGAGGUUAUCCGUACUAAUUGCAGGUAGUCGUCGGGCCUUAGUAGAGAGAGCUGCUCACAGGAGCUGUUUGCAGAUCCUCUCUGGGGAAGAAAACCACCAAGGGGUGCUCCUGGCACCUAAUAUUCUCCGCCUUCACACUCUUGUCCCUGUGCUGAGAGUUGCUGUUGUUCAGCCCCUCAGUCGUGUCUGACUCUUUGCGACCCCGUGGCCUGCAGCCCGCCAGGAUCCUCUGUCCAUGGAAUUUCCCAGAGACGGCCCAGCUGAGAGUGAAGGGGCCCUGCAGACUCAGAGCAUCACAGGGCUGCAGCCUCCAGUGAAGUGGGUGUGAGCGAAGAUCACCAAUUGCUGCAAAAGGCAUCAGGUGAAGGCACGGACAGCACUUCAUCACACAUGAGUCAGCCUGCAGGGCCCGAAGCCUCUGAACAAUCCCAGCGUCGCAGAGUCCUACGUCCCGUGCUUCCCAGCGGAAGUACAUGAGACCACUGACUGACACGGUGUCCCUGCCGGAUAAAGGAGCCUGAAGGCCUGAGCCUCUGGAUGUAUCAUUUCCAGAAAUAUAACGAGACAGACGAGGAGGCUUUUAAACAGCCCCAGCCGGUGGUGUGCAAUUACCAAAAUUCACACUGUGGAAAAACUUACAGGAAAAAAAUGACAAAUACAUUUCGGGGGAAAGAAAGUGAGACCGGCAGAAACAGAGGAGGAAGCCAUGCUCUAGAAGAGGCGAAUAAAUUAAAUGUAAAGUGUGACCCUUUCUUGACUCUUGACUUAAACAAACUGGUCUUAAAAAAAAAUUCAAGAACUGCCAAGAAGACUCUCUUCUACAGGCAAAAACAGGCUCACAAGCCCCACCCAUUCUCUCUGACUUUUUUUUUGCGUAAAUCAUGUAAUUAAAGAGCUGCACCUUUUAGUUAAACCUUCUUGCCCAGAGUCAACACCCUUUAAACCUCAUCAAUCACUGAUUCUCAGAUGGCUGGGAUUAUGAGCUUGUUUCCCAAGGGCGGGUAUCAGUGAGGCAUUUAAAGCUUGAAGAUGAUUUUUUAAAAGUCCCUGGAAAGGGGGCAAUAAUACCAAAACAAAAGGAGAGAGAAAACUCAGAAAUCAAGUAUCACUGAUUUCAGGAGUGUCCUGAGCUCCCUGGUCUUCUCCUUCUAGGUUCUUCAGAGCAGACGGCAGAAGACUCGAUAGGGGAGGGGGAUGGAGCCGGCCUGGUGAAGAUGCUGAGGUUCUGGAUUUUUGUUUUGUCUUUAGAAUUUUUUUUUUUUUUUCUGUUUGUCUCAAUAGGAAUGAACACAAAUUCAAAAGACCAAACAUUUCAAACCAAACAGCGAAGCCGUUUGAAGGCAGCCUCCUGGUGGCCAGCGCCUUGUGCCCUGGGGUCACUUCUCAAAUUAAGGUGAAAGUUGAAGUCUAAGUGGAGACGGAAGGAAGGAGAAAGGCCCUUCGCCAGCAUCCGCGGUAGGUGACCAUCCGCUCCCUCUCUGUGGGAGCGCCUCCAGUAGUUGGAAAUCUCUGACGCAUCCCACGCUCGGCACGUGGGUAUGAAGUUUCACCGUGGCAUCUCCCAGGACAGUGUUCUCACCCUCCAGAGGACCUGACUCCUACCUGGGGUCCGGGGGGGCUGAGGGGACAGCCCUCCGGUCAGACCAUAUCAGCAGCUGGGGGCAGGCAAGGCGAGUAGUUGGGGCUUUUCCCGAGAUGCCGUGGUGCCUUGUUGAGCAAAAAUGUGAUUUCAGUGGUUAGAGAGUGAGAGCAUAUGCUAAUAUAUUUAAAAACGGUUCUGAAACCACUCUCUUAAGGAUGAACUUAAGCUUGCUGGGGGAAGGGAUAUUUAGGGAGUUUGGGAUGAGCAUGUGCACACUGCCAUAUUUAAAGUGGAUAACCAGUAAGGACCUAGUGUACAGCACAGGGAACUCACUCAGUGUUAUGUGGCAGCCUGGAUGGGAGGGGAGUCUG